rnacentral:rRNA from 1 species
GGCGGCCAGAUAAGUCAGUGGUGAAAUUCCGUGGCUCAACCACGGAACUGCCAUUGAUACUGUUUGGCUUGAAUCAGUUCGAGGAUGCUGGAAUGUGUGGUGUAGCGGUGAAAUGCAUAGAUAUCACACAGAACACCAAUUGCGAAGGCAGGUGUCCAGAACUGUAUUGACGCUGAUGGACGAAAGCGUGGGUAGCGAACAGGAUUAGAUACCCUGGUAGUCCACGCCGUAAACGAUGGUCACUAGCUGUCCGGACUUAGGUCUGGGUGGCCAAGCGAAAGUGAUAAGUGACCCACCUGGGGAGUACGUUCGCAAGAAUGAAACUCAAAGGAAUUGACGGGGGCCCGCACAAGCGGUGGAGCAUGUGGUUUAAUUCGAUGAUACGCGAGGAACCUUACCAGGGCUUAAAUGCAUUAUGACAGGGGUGGAGACACCCUUUUCUUCGGACAUUUUGCAAGGUGCUGCAUGGUUGUCGUCAGCUCGUGCCGUGAGGUGUCAGGUUAAGUCCUAUAACGAGCGCAACCCCUGUUGUUAGUUGCCAGCGAGUAAUGUCGGGAACUCUAGCAAGACUGCCGGUGCAAACCGCGAGGAAGGUGGGGAUGACGUCAAAUCAUCACGGCCCUUACGCCCUGGGCCACACACGUGCUACAAUGGCAGGUACAGCAAGCAGCCACUGGGCGACCAGGAGCGAAUCUGUAAAGCCUGUCACAGUUCGGAUCGGAGUCUGCAACUCGACUCCGUGAA